rnacentral:lncRNA from 1 species
GAAGUGGAAGCAGUCAUUAGUCGUCUUUGAGGAUGAUGCUUCAGAUACGGUUGAUGUAUCUCUAUCCUCCUUUGUGUCUGUCUACAUUCGGAUUUAUAAACCAAGAGAAUUUACUUUCACUUCGGUCUGUUAGAUUUGAUAUUUUUUUGAAGUUUUUAGUUGUGUUGUGUAAGAUAAUCUUUCUUUCCCAUGCCAAUCAAUAACCUAUCGGAUUUUGUGACAGAAAAUUACUGAUGCAAUUGACCUUAUCUUUUCUUGAAACAAAUGUUCAGAUGUUUGAAGCUAACUUGCACCACAUUAGUUUUGUCUUUUAAUUGAUUCUCAAGCCCUAAACUGAGUUUAAUCCAAAACGGCUCAACAUAAAUUAAAAAAUUGUUAUUUUUUGACAAUUAACAAUUAAAUGCCUAGAGUAAAAAUUUAAACUUUAAAGCUAAAAUUCAGAUUUUUUUCAAAAGUUUCUCAAAGAAAAAAAAGGGAAAAGUGUACAGAGAAAAACAAUGAAACCAAACAAAAAAAAGGAAACGAGAAACUCGAGUAUACGCGCAUGAGAGCGCGCGUGGAGUAUGUCCUGACCUCUCCAACAAGGCGGACGAUAUGGGCCGAGCUUUAAAGCCCAGUUUACACGUGCGAGUUUAUUAAUAAAUAAAUAGCUUAAUGUCAAGUUUACACUCCUAACCAAACCAAACCGGUUCUUUCCUCUCCAACAAGCCAAGAAUCGUAUAAAGAACUAUCGAAAUCUCAAAAUCUAUCUCCGAUCGAAACCCGGCGAAGAUGACGAGAGAUAUCGAAGAUGAGAUCAGAGACGAGAAGAACCCUCGCCCCCUUGACGAAGACGACAUCGCUCUCCUCAAGACUUACGUAAGCAACCCCUCUCAGCUUCUUACUCUGUUAGGGCCAUCGAGGGUCUCUCGGAUCUAGCUUUAGGAGAGUCCUCGUUAGUUAAAGUCGCUUCCUUUAGGGUUUCUCGAACAAGGGUUUCUUGCUCUUGACACUGUUUGCUGGGUUUCGUCUCAUAAAUGUCAUUGCUUUGGGGGUUUAGGCGAGUCCACGUUAGUUAAAGUUGCUACCUUUGGGGUUUCUCGAUUAAGGGUUUUGACACUGUUUGCUAGAUUUCGUCUCUUCAGACAAAACCAAACUGAUGUUUCGUCUUGAGUGACUCAAGCCAGAAUUCAGUUUCAGUUUUGGUUGUGUACUUGUGUCUGUUCUCUCGAUAUAUGUUUUCUUGCGGACUCUCCUUUGCGUAAAUGUGAUUCCUUUUGCAGGGGUUAAGUCCUUACUCUGCAGCUAACAAGAAAGUUGAGAAAGAAAUCAAGGAGCUCGCCAAGAGGAUCAACGAUCUCUGUGGUAUGUAUUGUAUGCACACUCUUUGUUUUUGCUGAAGCGUUUGGGUUUACAGAAGGAUUACUUUAUAUGAUGGAAACCUUGAUGGAGCUUCUCACUUUGUAUUGCAGGCAUCAAGGAGUCUGAUACUGGUUUAGCUCUUCCUAGUCAAUGGGAUCUCGUUUCUGAUAAGCAGAUGAUGCAAGAGGAGCAACCUCUUCAGGUACCCUCUCUUUCUUAGGAAAACCUCUUUUGCUUCUCUAAGGCUUGAGUAUUAGGGACUAAGCUGUAAAUGUUUUUAUUUUCCAGGUUGCUAGAUGCACGAAGAUCAUUAGUCCAAACACUGAAGAUGCCAAGUACGUCAUCAAUGUCAAACAGAUAGCCAAGGUACAUUAAUAUUACCUAAGCUGAUGUUUCUGCAUAACCGCUUAUGUUUUACCUUUCGAUUUUUUUUGGUUAUAACUGUUUCUUUUUGGUGCAGUUUGUCGUUGGCCUUGGAGAUAAAGUUUCUCCCACUGACAUUGAAGAAGGCAUGCGCGUAGGGUAUGUUUCAUGUUUAUGAACUGAGAUUGUCUCUGAUUUAAUUAGAAGUUACUGAACUUUAAUUAUUUAAUAUAUAUUAAUUAUUUCAUAAUAUGUAAAAAUAUUUAAUACAUAAAAUAAUUUAUAUAUAUAAUGUUGAUCCCGCGCAAGGCGCAGAUCUUAACCUAGUAUUAUAGUGUUUUGUUAAUAUUUUUUUUUCUUGUUUAGCUAAAUUUGAAUCGUUGUUGUCCUCCAAAAGUUUUAAACACAAGCAGUAGGUUGACUGAGUCGGAGCAACUGGAUAGCGAUCUCGGUUAGUGUAUGCCCCUGUUUCGGUCUGUUUCGGUUUGUUGUUGAAUUUGUGUUUGUAGAUUUUCUUUUUUUUUUUUCUCUGCUUCUUGUCAUCUUUGUACUUCUGUCAAAAACUUAAAAGCUUAGUAAUAAUAUCAUUACAUUUUACCCAAAAAAAAAGAGAGUUUUAAACACAAAAAUAAGAGACUGACCAAAUACAAACUUUUGCAUCUGAAACGAAAACGAGUAGAAGCCUCAGCUUUUAUUCCUCCGUAUACCUUUAACAAAGACAACCCUCCAUUUUCUUAUGUUCAUUUAUGGCCCAUGGAUAAGAUUAAAAGCCCAUUAAUAAAACGCUGCGUUUCGGAUCAAUCUAACUUGUUGUUCAACAAGUGAACCUUCGGAAGCUAAAAGACGGAGCCGAACGCAUCCAGUUUCCUCGAUUCGCCCACCAACCAGCUCGUAUGAUCUCCUCUUCUCAACACCUUCUUAGUUAAUUCGAUUCCCAUUUUGUGGAUUCAACCAGAUCUGUUAAUUCUUCCAGGGUUUUGAUUCUGUUGUGCAGACAGACACUAAAGGGGUUUUACAGAUCGAAGAAGAAGAUGUUUCUCACGAGGUCUGUCUAUCUUCUUCUGCUUAUGGGUUUACUUAAAGUUUCGUCCUUUUUUAUGUUUCAGUCGUGGGUUUUUGCUUAAUCGUGAUUUCUGAUUUUGUGUGUUUUUGUUCCAAGGACUGAGUACGACAGAGGAGUCAACACUUUCUCUCCUGAGGGUAGGCUAUUCCAAGUCGAGUACGCCAUUGAAGCUAUCAAGGUAACAACUUUUUUAUGAGUUUAAGAAAAUGAGUUCAAUAUCUCUUUGUAUAUUGAGGUUUGGACUUAAGAGUAAAGUUUCCAUUGAAGCUAUGGAGAAGAAUAUAAGAGAAGUUGAUUUAGUGGGGUUCUUUGAUUGCUCAGACAGUUUUAUUGCUUACCAGUUCUUAGUUUUGUAGCCAUUGAGACUAAAUUGGUAGAUUUAGUGAUCUUCUUGGAUAAUGAUUUAGUGUGUUUCUUUUCUUUGAUUGCUUAUACUUAAAGAGUAUUGCAGAGUUUGGAUCACAUUUUCUUGUUUACUUGCUGUUGUUGAGAUUUACAGUGUGAUGAUGUGUGUGUGGAUUAUAAUAUUUCUUGAGUGUCUGAUGAGUGUGGGAUUAUUGCAGCUUGGUUCUACUGCAAUUGGAGUAAAGACAAAGGAAGGAGUUGUGCUUGCUGUCGAGAAGCGUAUCACCUCGCCUUUGCUGGUUUGCCUACUUACAUUGAAUUCUCGGUUUCUUAUAAGUUCUCAUUUUGAUCACUUUUAUUUAAUUCAACGAAUUGCAUCUCUGGUGUUGCAUUAGAUAGGAUGAAGUAUAAGCAAUCUAUGUUACUUAUAUAUGGUAUUUGAGUCUAUGUUAAAACAUCAGUCUAAGUCUAAGUUAAGAAGUGUAUCAGUAUCACCUCGCCUUAACAGGUUUGGCUUCUUACAUUGAAUCUUUGUUUUUCAGGAGCCGAGCAGUGUGGAGAAGAUUAUGGAAAUUGAUGACCAUAUUGGCUGUGCCAUGAGCGGUUUAAUUGCUGAUGCGCGUACUCUUGUUGAGCAUGCAAGAGUUGAGACUCAAGUGAGGUUUCUCUUUCUUCGGUUUUAUUUUUGCUUAUAGCGUAAAAAGACCUUUUACACGUUAUUGACAGCUUGUUUGCUAAUGGUACAGAACCACAGAUUCUCGUAUGGUGAGCCAAUGACUGUAGAGUCCACUACACAAGCCCUGUGUGAUCUGGCUUUACGGUUUGGUGAAGGAGAUGAAGAAUCAAUGGUAAAUAACUGAUAAUCAAAUCCGAAUCUCUACUUAAUGACUCAUGAGUACUGUUUCUCUUUUUUUCAUCUGUGUUAUUACAGUCUCGGCCAUUUGGAGUUUCUCUUCUCAUCGCUGGUCACGAUGAAAACGGACCGAGCUUGUAAGUGUUCUUCUACUGAUAUGAUUCACUUGUGGAUUGACCAAAUUGUAAACGGCUCGGUCUUGUUACAGGUACUACACAGACCCGUCCGGAACAUUCUGGCAGUGCAAUGCAAAGGCGAUUGGAUCAGGGUCAGAAGGAGCUGAUAGUUCUCUUCAAGAACAAUUCAACAAAGUAAGUUGAGAACUUAUACAAUAAUUAAUUACUCAAAUCUGACUGACUCCUGGUGUUAUAUAACCAUUAGCUUCCUUUAACUUUGUUGCAGGAUCUGUCACUUGAGGAAGCUGAGACGAUCGCUGUAUCUAUCCUCAAGCAAGUUAUGGAAGAAAAGGUAUAAAAACUUUUCAAUCCAAACCUAUUACAGUUUACUCAAAGUUUUUUAUCCCAAUCUAAAUGGGUCUGGUCUGUGUAGGUGACUCCAAAUAAUGUGGACAUUGCCAAGGUAGCUCCAGCGUACCAUAUCUACACUCCACAGGAAGUGGAAGCAGUCAUUAGUCGUCUUUGAGGAUGAUGCUUCAGAUACGGUUGAUGUAUCUCUAUCCUCCUUUGUGUCUGUCUACAUUCGGAUUUAUAAACCAAGAGAAUUUACUUUCACUUCGGUCUGUUAGAUUUGAUAUUUUUUUGAAGUUUUUAGUUGUGUUGUGUAAGAUAAUCUUUCUUUCCCAUGCCAAUCAAUAACCUAUCGGAUUUUGUGACAGAAAAUUACUGAUGCAAUUGAC